GAUGAGCGCUGGCGGUAUGCUUAACACAUGCAAGUCGAACGGACUCUUCGGAGUUAGUGGCGGACGGGUGAGUAACGCGUGAGAAUCUGGCUUUGGGUUCGGGACAACCACUGGAAACGGUGGCUAAUACCGGAUGUGCCGAGAGGUAAAAGAGAAAUUGCCUGAAGAUGAGCUCGCGUCUGAUUAGCUAGUUGGUGAGGUAAAGGCUCACCAAGGCAGCGAUCAGUAGCUGGUCUGAGAGGAUGACCAGCCACACUGGGACUGAGACACGGCCCAGACUCCUACGGGAGGCAGCAGUGGGGAAUUUUCCGCAAUGGGCGAAAGCCUGACGGAGCAAUACCGCGUGAGGGAAGAAGGCUCUUGGGUUGUAAACCUCUUUUCUUAGGGAAGAACAAAAUGACGGUACCUAAGGAAUCAGCAUCGGCUAACUCCGUG
rnacentral:rRNA from 1 species